rnacentral:rRNA from 1 species
AAUCAACGCUGGCGGCGUGCCUAACACAUGCAAGUCGAGCGAGAAAGGGGCUUCGGCCCUGAGUAAAGCGGCGCACGGGUGAGUAACACGUGGGUAAUCUGCCCUCGAGUGGGGAAUAACAUCGGGAAACCGAUGCUAAUACCGCAUACGAUCAUGAUUUCUUCGGAUUUUGUGAUGAAAGGAGCAAUCCGCUCUUGGAGGAGCCCGCGGCUGAUUAGCUAGUUGGUAAGGUAAUGGCUUACCAAGGCAACGAUCAGUAUCCGGUCUGAGAGGACGGUCGGACACACUGGAACUGAGACACGGUCCAGACUCCUACGGGAGGCAGCAGGUGGGUAAUUUUGGCAAUGGGGGAACCCUGACCAAGCAACGCCGCGUGGAUGAUGAAGUAUCUCGGU